UCUUACCUUGGAGACCCGAUGCGGAUAUGGGUACGAGCUGGCCCGAGACUAGUCGCAGCCGACUUUAUUGGGAGGAAAAGUCAGCUGCUCUACCUCAGUUACCUACCCUCGCGUUUUCAAGGACCGGCAGUGGAGCUCGGGACGCCGCAAGAAAUGCGACGCUCUACGGCUAACCGUGUUACAAACACCCUUUCUUCCGGCGAAUGACUUCCAGGGUCACGGCGCCUUAAACAGAAAAGAAAACUCUUUCCCGGUCCACCACCGGCGUACGCGAGCUGGUUCCCGUUACCGGGUUCCUGUACAGGCAUGUCACGACUGCACAAUUAUCAUAGGCAUUCUCAUGCACGAUGCUGCUGCUGCUGCCGCCAUAAUAAACUCGAACUAAAUCCCUUUUCCUCCUCCUACUAAUCCUGCUGAUGCCAUGUUGUUGCUGCUGCUGCUGAUGCCAUAAUAAACAUGCAGAGACAAGACAGUCUACAACGGGAACAACAAGACGUCGUAGUUGAAGUAUUAAGAAGAAGCCGAGCCAGGCAGUCAGUCAGACAGACAGACAGAGAUGAUACAUUGA
rnacentral:rRNA from 1 species